AUGUCUGGGAAACUGCCUGAUGAGGGGGAUAACUACUGGAAACGGUAGCUAAUACCGCAUAACGUCGCAAGACCAAAGAGGGGGACCUUCGGGCCUCUUGCCAUCGGAUGUGCCCAGAUGGGAUUAGCUUGUUGGUGGGGUAACGGCUCACCAAGGCGACGAUCCCUAGCUGGUCUGAGAGGAUGACCAGCCACACUGGAACUGAGACACGGUCCAGACUCCUACGGGAGGCAGCAUG
rnacentral:rRNA from 1 species